rnacentral:rRNA from 1 species
CUUCUAAAAUUGGAUGGACUAAGGUUUAAAAAACAUUACCCAUGGCAGUCACUUAUCUUUCUAGAGAAGCAUGUUUUUUAAAAAUGAAUCUACACACCUGACCGUUCUUUUUCUUGAAUAACUCAUUUUGUACACCGCUAUCUGAAAGGUGAAUCUAAACAUUCACUCUUUUUCCUUGUAAGGGAAUAAGGUAAGUUAAGGUGCAGACUAUGGAGAUGAAGAAAUGUGCCUCAUUACGAAUUAUGGAUUCCCUAUCGUGAAAUUUGGAAAAAAUAGAAUUUAGGAG